rnacentral:rRNA from 1 species
AUGAACGCUGGCGGCGUGCCUAAUCCAUGCAAGUCGAGCGAACGGACGAGAAGCUUGCUUCUCUGAUGUUAGCGGCGGACGGGUGAGUAACACGUGGAUAACCUACCUAUAAGACUGGGAUAACUUCGGGAAACCGGAGCUAAUACCGGAUAAUAUUUUGAACCGCAUGGUUCAAAAGUGAAAGACGGUCUUGCUGUCACUUAUAGAUGGAUCCGCGCUGCAUUAGCUAGUUGGUAAGGUAACGGCUUACCAAGGCAACGAUGCAUAGCCGACCUGAGAGGGGGAUCGCCCACACUGGAACUGAGACACGGUCCAGACACCUACGGGAGGCAGCAGUAGGGAUCUUCCGCAAUGGGCGAAAGCCUGACGGAGCAACGCCGCGUGAGUGAUGAAGGUCUUCGGAUCGUAAAACCCUGUUAUUAGGGAAGAACAUAUGUGUAAGUAACUGUGCACAUCUUGACGGUACCUAAUCAGAAAGCCACGGCUAACUACGUG